UUAAGCGACUAAGCGUACACGGUGGAUGCCCUGGCAGUCAGAGGCGAUGAAGGACGUGCUAAUCUGCGAAAAGCGUCGGUAAGGUGAUAUGAACCGUUAUAACCGGCGAUGUCCGAAUGGGGAAACCCAGUGCAAUUCGUUGCACUAUCGUUAACUGAAUACAUAGGUUAACGAGGCGAACCGGGGAACUGAAACAUCUAAGUACCCCGAGGAAAAGAAAUCAACCGAGAUUCCCCCAGUAGCGGCGAGCGAACGGGGAGCAGCCCAGAGUCUGAAUCAGCUUGUGUGUUAGUGGAACGGUCUGGAAAGUCCGACGGUACAGGGUGAUAGUCCCGUACACCAAAAUGCACAGGCUGUGAACUCGAAGAGUAGGGCGGGACACGUGGUAUCCUGUCUGAAUAUGGGGGGACCAUCCUCCAAGGCUAAAUACUCCUGACUGACCGAUAGUGAACCAGUACCGUGAGGGAAAGGCGAAAAGAACCCCGGCGAGGGGAGUGAAAAAGAACCUGAAACCGUGUACGUACAAGCAGUGGGAGCACCUUCGGGUGUGACUGCGUACCUUUUGUAUAAUGGGUCAGCGACUUAUAUUCUGUAGCAAGGUUAACCGUAUAGGGGAGCCGCAGGGAAACCGAGUCUUAACUGGGCGUUAAGUUGCAGGGUAUAGACCCGAAACCCGGUGAUCUAGCCAUGGGCAGGUUGAAGGUUGGGUAACACUAACUGGAGGACCGAACCGACUAAUGUUGAAAAAUUAGCGGAUGACUUGUGGCUGGGGGUGAAAGGCCAAUCAAACCGGGAGAUAGCUGGUUCUCCCCGAAAGCUAUUUAGGUAGCGCCUCGUGAAUUCAUCUUCGGGGGUAGAGCACUGUUUCGGCUAGGGGGUCAUCCCGACUUACCAACCCGAUGCAAACUACGAAUACCGAAGAAUGUUAUCACGGGAGACACACGGCGGGUGCUAACGUCCGUCGUGAAGAGGGAAACAACCCAGACCGCCAGCUAAGGUCCCAAAGUCAUGGUUAAGUGGGAAACGAUGUGGGAAGGCACAGACAGCCAGGAUGUUGGCUUAGAAGCAGCCAUCAUUUAAAGAAAGCGUAAUAGCUCACUGGUCGAGUCGGCCUGCGCGGAAGAUGUAACGGGGCUAAACCAUGCACCGAAGCUGCGGCAGCGACACUAUGUGUUGUUGGGUAGGGGAGCGUUCUGUAAGCCUGCGAAGGUGUGCUGUGAGGCAUGCUGGAGGUAUCAGAAGUGCGAAUGCUGACAUAAGUAACGAUAAAGCGGGUGAAAAGCCCGCUCGCCGGAAGACCAAGGGUUCCUGUCCAACGUUAAUCGGGGCAGGGUGAGUCGACCCCUAAGGCGAGGCCGAAAGGCGUAGUCGAUGGGAAACAGGUUAAUAUUCCUGUACUUGGUGUUACUGCGAAGGGGGGACGGAGAAGGCUAUGUUAGCCGGGCGACGGUUGUCCCGGUUUAAGCAUGUAGGCUGAUUAUCCAGGCAAAUCCGGAUAAUCAAGGCUGAGGUGUGAUGACGAGGCACUACGGUGCUGAAGUAACAAAUGCCCUGCUUCCAGGAAAAGCCUCUAAGCAUCAGGUAACAUCAAAUCGUACCCCAAACCGACACAGGUGGUCAGGUAGAGAAUACCAAGGCGCUUGAGAGAACUCGGGUGAAGGAACUAGGCAAAAUGGUGCCGUAACUUCGGGAGAAGGCACGCUGGUGUGUAGGUGAAGCCCCUGCGGGUGGAGCUGAGACCAGUCGAAGAUACCAGCUGGCUGCAACUGUUUAUUAAAAACACAGCACUGUGCAAACACGAAAGUGGACGUAUACGGUGUGACGCCUGCCCGGUGCCGGAAGGUUAAUUGAUGGGGUUAUCCGUAAGGAGAAGCUCUUGAUCGAAGCCCCGGUAAACGGCGGCCGUAACUAUAACGGUCCUAAGGUAGCGAAAUUCCUUGUCGGGUAAGUUCCGACCUGCACGAAUGGCGUAAUGAUGGCCAGGCUGUCUCCACCCGAGACUCAGUGAAAUUGAACUCGCUGUGAAGAUGCAGUGUACCCGCGGCAAGACGGAAAGACCCCGUGAACCUUUACUAUAGCUUGACACUGAACAUUGAGCCUUGAUGUGUAGGAUAGGUGGGAGGCUUUGAAGCGUGGACGCCAGUCUGCGUGGAGCCAACCUUGAAAUACCACCCUUUAAUGUUUGAUGUUCUAACGUUGGCCCCUGACCGGGGUUGCGGACAGUGUCUGGUGGGUAGUUUGACUGGGGCGGUCUCCUCCCAAAGCGUAACGGAGGAGCACGAAGGUUAGCUAAUCCUGGUCGGACAUCAGGAGGUUAGUGCAAUGGCAUAAGCUAGCUUGACUGCGAGCGUGACGGCGCGAGCAGGUGCGAAAGCAGGUCAUAGUGAUCCGGUGGUUCUGAAUGGAAGGGCCAUCGCUCAACGGAUAAAAGGUACUCCGGGGAUAACAGGCUGAUACCGCCCAAGAGUUCAUAUCGACGGCGGUGUUUGGCACCUCGAUGUCGGCUCAUCACAUCCUGGGGCUGAAGUAGGUCCCAAGGGUAUGGCUGUUCGCCAUUUAAAGUGGUACGCGAGCUGGGUUUAGAACGUCGUGAGACAGUUCGGUCCCUAUCUGCCGUGGGCGCUGGAGAAUUGAGGGGGGCUGCUCCUAGUACGAGAGGACCGGAGUGGACGCAUCACUGGUGUUCGGGUUGUCAUGCCAAUGGCACUGCCCGGUAGCUAAAUGCGGAAGAGAUAAGUGCUGAAAGCAUCUAAGCACGAAACUUGCCCCGAGAUGAGUUCUCCCUGAGACUUUAAGUCUCCUGAAGGAACGUUGAAGACGACGACGUUGAUAGGCCGGGUGUGUAAGCGCAGCGAUGCGUUGAGCUAACCGGUACUAAUGAACCGUGAGGCUUAACCUU
rnacentral:rRNA from 1 species